CGCCAGACUCCUACGGGAGGCAGCAGUGGGGAAUAUUGCACAAUGGGGGAAACCCUGAUGCAGCGACGCCGCGUGAAGGACGAAGUAUUUCGGUACGUAAACUUCUAUCAGCAGGGAAGAAAAUGACGGUACCUGACCAAGAAGCCCCGGCUAACUACGUGCCAGCAGCCGCGGUAAUACGUAGGGGGCAAGCGUUAUCCGGAUUUACUGGGUGUAAAGGGAGCGUAGACGGCAGCACAAGUCUGGAGUGAAAUCCCGGGGCUUAACCCCGGAACUGCUUUGGAAACUGUACGGCUGGAGUGCAGGAGGGGUAAGCGGAAUUCCUAGUGUAGCGGUGAAAUGCGUAGAUAUUAGGAGGAACACCGGUGGCGAAGGCGGCUUACUGGACUGUAACUGACGUUGAGGCUCGAAAGCGUGGGGAGCAAACAGGAUUAGAUACCCCAGUAUAC
rnacentral:rRNA from 1 species